rnacentral:rRNA from 1 species
GUUGGUUUAAUUCGAAGCAACGCGAAGUAACCUUUACCAGGUCUUGACAUCCCGAUGCUAUUUCUAGAGAUAGAAAGUUACUUCGGUACAUCGGUGACAGGUGGUGCAUGGUUGUCGUCAGCUCGUGUCGUGAGAUGUUGGGUUAAGUCCCGCAACGAGCGCAACCCCUAUUGUUAGUUGCCAUCAUUCAGUUGGGCACUCUAGCGAGACUGCCGGUAAUAAACCGGAGGAAGGUGGGAUGACGUCAAAUCAUCAUGCCCCUUAUGACCUGGGCUACACACGUGCUACAAUGGUUGGUACAACGAGUUGCGAGUCGGUGACGGCGAGCUAAUCUCUUAAAGCCAAUCUCAGUUCGGAUUGUAGGCUGCAACUCGCCUACAUGAAGUCGGAAUCGCUAGUAAUCGCGGAUCAGCACGCCGCGGUGAAUACGUUCCCGGGCCUU